GACGAACGCUGGCGGCGUGCUUAACACAUGCAAGUCGAACGGAAAGGCCUCUUUCGGGGGGUACUCGCGUGGCGAACGGGUGAGUAACACGUGAGUAACCUGCCCUUGACUUUGGGAUAACUUCAUGAAACUGGGGCUAAUACCGGAUAGGAGCUCCUGCUGCAUGGUGGGGGUUGGAAAGUUUCGGCGGUUGGGGAUGGACUCGCGGCUUAUCAGCUUGUUGGUGGGGUAGUGGCUUACCAAGGCUUUGACGGGUAGCCGGACAGGGAGGGUGACCGGCCACAUUGGGACUGAGGUAAGGCACAGACUCCUAAGGGAGGGAGAAGGGGGGAAUAUUGAACAAGGGGUGGAAGCCGGAUGCAGCAAGGCCGUGUGCGGGAUGACGGCCUUCGGGUGGAAAACCGAUUUCGCUCAUGACGAAGCUUUGUGUGACGGUAGUGGGUAAAGAAGCACCGGCUAACUACGUG
rnacentral:rRNA from 1 species